rnacentral:lncRNA from 1 species
UGCUUUGUAAUGGUUCAUAAAUACUCAUGUUGUAAAACUUGUUAUGCAUGAUGCUGUAUGGAGUAACCAUUUGAGAUAUGGAUGUUUAGUACUAGUUAAAGCAUAAGUGGAUGUAGUUAAAUGUCUAUGAAAUGGUAAGCUUGGAUACUAGUAGUAGUACAUACUUAUUACUUAAAAGUCUAGCUAUAUUACUUAAAAGUCUAGCUACAGUAGUGGUUUGUCUAUGUAUUUGAAUUGUGGUGUCUGUAACACCCUAAACCCGGCUUAGACGGGAAGGCUAAGUUUACAUUGUGUUCCCUGCUCGUAUCCCCUGCCCGUGUGACUAAAAAUAUGAACUCAGAGAGUUACACGGCCUUGACACACGCACAUGCGUCUUGCCUGUGUGAUUUCUGCACCUCUUUUCUCACACACGGUCUAACACACGUCCGUGUGAGCCCAAGUUCAAACUCAAGGAGUUAUAAGGUCCCCCACAUGGGCUCUCAUAUAGCUGUGUGACCUACACGAACUGCACAUAUGCCCGUGUGGCAGCCCGUGUGAUGCGAACCCAUGCUCGUAGUUGAUGACGAGUUACGAAUAUUCCCGAUCGUAAAUUAAGUAGUAUCGUUAAUGAAGGCUGAUCAAGAAGGUUUCUAAGUUGGUUGGUUUUGUAAAGGAAUAAUAGGUGAAUGGUUUCAGCUGAAUUUGGUUAUAGAACAAGUUUGAAGAAUGAAUCGAUAUUAUAUACGAAUAUUGACCCUACACUUAUGACAACACUUAGUAGCGAAUUGGUUAAAGGUAACAAACCGAGACCCACUAUCUAAAGAGAUAGGAACUUACGGUAUAAGGGUGAAUACGACACUUGCUGGAAGUGAUAAGUUCAGAAAGAUUCGGGUUGACGCCACUAGACUUUAGCUAGAUAAGUCAAUUGAGUCUCAAAAGAACAAAGGGAGUUGAAUAACUGACAAUGAGCUUAAUAAUCAUAAAAGAUUCAAAGUUCAGUAACCUUCAAAACCAAUUACAAUGAGCUAUUUAUAAGCUAUUUAUUCUAGCCGAAUGGACACUAAGUAAUACAAUUAAAGUGAGCUGGAAUUCAAGUUAAUUUCAGCUGAAUGAACCUUGAGGGAAUUAAAUGUGACAAUGAGACACUUGAGGUCCACGAAUAGCCAUAGAUCUGACUUAAUAGCUAAGCUGAGCAAUUCAUUUAACUUGUUUUGUCCUUGUAUUGAAAACUGAAGUAAUUAUGUCCUUGGUGCAACGAAUGCACAAAUCAGCAAAGGAAUGCUUCUAUCAUAGGAGACGACAUUAGACAUGACCUUUGCAUUCCACGAACAGUCGACUAAAUGAACUUGGAGGUGAGCUGAAUCAAGCAAGCAUAUGAUCAGCCAAGAGGUGUGAAAAUGAAUGAACUUUCCUUGAGCAGCCGAACAAGCAUAGUUGAAUUAAUGCUGGUUGUUGUGCACGAACAACCACCAAGUGUGAACAGCUGGAGUUGAGUGGUCAAUAAGGUUUGAA